CCCACCAAUCGCCACUAGAUGGCACAUUAUAAAGGGAGGCGGCAAUGGUCUCGCGCUCUCUCUCUCUCUUUUGCCCUUGGCAGAAGCACCUGCGGCCUCGUUAGUCGUUUCCGGCCUCUUUACUCAACCUACCGCAGACGGCCGCUGUGCCACUGGGUCUCCAUGGUCUGGAAUCGUUGUGAUGAGCGCCACGCUGCCCCAGGUGUGCCCAACGCUGCCUGACGUUAGUUGCUGAGAGCCACUGUGGUGGUCCUGGUGUCCCGGGUGAUGGUCGUUCCCCCCCCAUUUCUUUGAUAUUUCUGCAUGUGUGAUUGGGGUGGUUCACCUUGUUUUUUGGAGCUCUCACACCACGUUUCAAAACCAGGUCCAUCUCACCCUUUUUUAAUGACAUUUUCAUGGUCCAAUCCUGUUUUCUCAGUUGUAUAAAUAAAUUAUGCAUUUUUAA